GGCGCGGCUGAGGCGGCGACGAUGGCGGCGGGACGCGCGCGGCGGGCGGCGGGGACGGAGCUGUACCGAGAGCUCCUCCGGGUAUAUGAAGAAGGAAAGAAAAGCAUCCCUGAACACCCCUAUCUCUUUGAGAACGAUGUAGAGAUCUGUUUGUUUGGUCGUGGUUGCAAAAGUCCCAUUGAAAGAUUUUGGAAUGGAAGUAGUAUGGUGUAUAUUUUGCAAAAAGCAGGCCACAAUGAGGGAGGUGACCCAAUGGAAGAAUCAAAAUCAGAUGAUGCUCUUUAUGCCUCUGAGCUUUUGCCAAAGGACAGUGCUGGACCAGUCGCUCUUUCUGUUGGAAGGGCAAAGCAGUUGAUUUCCUUAUAUACAAUGGCACAAAAUCCAAACAUGACCCAUUUGAAGACAAGUGAACUGGCUGUGCUUCCUCCCCUCUGGAUAAGGUGUGAUGGCUCUGAUCCAGAGUGUACUUGUUGGCUUGGAGCUGAGCCUCUCAAAGCUGGAAACAAAAUCACAGGGAUCAAUAUCUAUAUGGUUACAUGUAACGGUCCUACAGCUGAUAAAACCUGUUUUGCAAACCUAGAGGAACUCAAAAUGGCACAUAAAGUCAAACACCAUUCAUCUAUUGUGACGACAAAAGGAUUUGCUCAGUAUGAACUUAUUAGAGCUGCUGCAAUAGAGGACACAAUUGUAGAAUCUGAAAGCAAUAUAUGUAUUGACAUUACGUGGAAUACUGUAGAUAAGAUUCUGCAGCCACCCCCACUUACUGCAGCUGCCACACUGAAUAUUUCAUUGGAGUCUGGGGACCCCAGGAGUCCUGUAUAUCCGCUGUAUAGAGAACUGCAGUUUCUCCUUACUUUGGCUGAAGGUUUGAAGACAGGUGUGACUGAAUGGCCUGAGUCCUUAGAGUCCAAAUCAGCUUUUGAACUGGUCCAAGGAUUUCUGACUGAUUUAAAGAAGAAACUGGAUGGCUGUUGUGUAUCAGGAAAUGAGAAUGAAACAGAGAAUAUCAAAUCUGACACUGCUGCAGUGGAUAGUUCAAUAAAAUCAAUCUUCAGUGAACGAGGAGACCUGGAUUUUGCUGAACAAUUAUGGUGCAAAAUGAGAAGUGUCAGUUCCUAUCAGGAGUUGGUAGAGUGUUUCACAUUGAUCAUAAAAUCCCUGAAACAUGGUGAAGUACAGCCAUGGAUUCAUCAAGGGAGUAGCAGUUUGCUAAGUAAAUUGAUUCAGCAGUCUUACCAUGGCAAGAUAGAGGCCGUUUUCCUCAGUGGCAUCACUCCAGUUCAAAUGCUCCUAGAGAUUGGUUUGGAUAAGAUGAAGAAGGAUUACGUCAGCUUUUUCAUAGGUCAGGAACUUGCAACAUUAACCUAUUUGGAUUACUUCAUUUCCACAUCAGUAGAUCUACAAGAACAAGUUCAUCGUGUUCAGAAGCUUCACCAUAUGCUGGAAAUAAUGGUCAGCUGUACAGUCUUACUUCAGUUUAAACAUGAGAACCUCUUCCCUUUGACACAAACUUGUCUGAAAUAUUAUAAGGAAAACCCUCUAAAUGAGAAGCAUGUGUUUCAACUGCCAAUCAGGCCAGCUCUCGUCAAGAAGUUCUAUCAAAAUGAUCACCCAGAAAUAUGGAAGGUGGACAUAAGUAGUGGGCAUGGCCAAAAGGAGGUUAAAACAACAUGGCAAGUUAGUACUAGUCCUCCUGUUGAACAUAUGAUAUCAAACAAUAUAGGUCUCUUGUGCGAUUCUACAGUUAAUGGAAGCACUGAAGAAAGAAUGUAUUUUAUUACAAUGACUAAUUGCAGUCAGGUGCAUUUCACAUAAAUAGAUGUUACUCUCCAGGCAGGCACUGGAAAGCUGUUCGUGCUGCCAACUGACCUGGGCUUCCAGUGAGCCUGCAUUCCCUUGGGACUACCAGGAGGCUCGCCACCGUUUCCAGGGCAUCUGGGAUGCAAUUUGCUGGUGACGUUGGCUGGCACCAUCAGCAGAAUUGUACCAUCCAACUGGCUGGUACCCAGCACGACAGAGAUACUUCUGCUGGCCUGCCACUGCAGGGGAUGCAAAUCUUUCUGUAUCGGGGAGAAUCUGUGUGCUGCUGCUGAAGAGAGGCUCCGUCUUAAAACAACAACAACAACAAACACAGCUCCAGAAGUUUGGAAGAUCUCGUGUUUGAACUGUGCUCCCUGAAAUGAGAUCAAGAAUAGCCGUCAGAUCCUCUCCUCUGAAGAGAGCAUCAUUGAAGAACAGCUUGAGAUAAGCAGUACGAACCAAAAGAACAGAGAGAGAUCCCGGUGGCUGUCAGAUCACAGGUCUCGAUCCCAAGAUCUCAUGGUGCAGUGUGCGGAGUCCUCCAAACCCGUUUUUUCUUCAAACACCCUCCCGCCUCUUUCCAGAGGUCAGAUUACAGCGCGGUCCCACAGGUUGCUGCAUUGAAGGGGUGCAGAGCUUCAGCAGUGGAGUGAGCGGUGCUUCCACCGCCCCCAGAAACGCCUCCUGUCACUGCUGGCAGGACGCAGAGGGUUUCAGGUCGUACUGCUUCCUCUAGCAUCGAUCUCUCUGCGUUUUGUUGGGGGUGGCAUUGCGUAUGUGCGCAUCUUGUUAACGGCCAGAUGUAUACAAAUGAAGAUAAACACUGAAGUAAUUUAAACUUUCAUUUUCAUCUUGCAAUUUCUGUAAUACGAUUAGGGUUUGUACUGAUGCUUCUGAUAAAACUCUCCCACAGUGCAGCUCCGUACCAAGUAGCCAGUGGGUGCCAGGCUACCAGACGCUACCAGGCAGUCUGUCUGCGCCUCUCCGUCUGCCCCCAUCCAUCCCCGUGUCCCACAUCAUUUCAGCUAAUAGAAUUUGCAGAUUAUUGGAGGAGGAAUAGAGGAAUGGGAAGGGUGACUUAUUUCUUAUGUCAUGAUCAUGUGUAUAGCUUCAGUGGGACUGAAGGAAGAAGCAAAAAGAGGGAAAGAAAGAGAAUGCAGGGGAGAUUACAAAACAAAGCAAAGGAGAAAAAAAAACAGGAAGGGGGUGGGAAAUAGAAUUCCAAUGUGUCAUCUCAGUACUGGAUAUUAUUACUCAAAAAUCUAUAUAUAUUUUCUUGGGACAUAUGUAAGAGCCAGUGAGUGAGUCGGGAAGAAUGAAUGUACAAAGCUCUCCUAUCUACUGUAUUUGUUUCUCCUUUGUCUGGGUCUUCCCAGAUGGAAAUGUGCCUUGUGUGCCAUCAGCCCAUCACCCCCGGGUGAUCAGAUAAAACCGGUUUGCAUCAGAGACACUGCUCGUACCCUGCAGCACUGACCUGCAGUUUGCUGUGACCGGGCUGCUGGGUGUUUGGAGGUCGCUGGCAAUGGGCUAGAGCCUUCGGAUUCUGCCUGCACAAAACCUGUGGUCACAAAGGAGGAGGUGUCCAUGUUUUUCAAGACCUGUGUAAGCCACAGAGCUGCCAAAGACAAGCCAGGAUUGCUUCCUAGUGACACGCAGAGACUGCAGUGGCUGUGGCAGUGUUCAUAAAUGUGCGUUCAAAGAACUUCUUGUUUCUGCCCGGUGCAUCUGCUCCAUGCCUCUGCAUGUGAGACCAGCACCAGGGCAACGGAGGAUAACAAAAAGAAGUCAGAAGACAGGAAGAGCAGUAGCAGUUGUCCAAGAAAAGAAACCAAACUGCCUUCCAGCCACAGCAGCUUACCAUGGCUGACACGGCGAGCCUUGGAACAUGAUGACCUCUGUAGACGGCAGCCAGCAGCAAAAACCUGGCUGGACCUGCAGAGAUACAGCACAAUGAAGAGGGCUGGCACUUCGGAUUGCAACAUUGCUGAAACGAAAAGCGUGAACACUACAGGAAUUUCUGCUCUAUGGAAAAAUGUUAUUUUUGGAUUCUUCAGGAAGGCGUGCAUAUAAAACCACCGGUUCCCUG